rnacentral:lncRNA from 1 species
CAGAGAAACAAUGUUUCUGCUACAUUUCUAUUGGUCGCACCUUGGGAUUUUGCCCACUCAGGAAACCCAGCAGCCAGUGUAAAUCAACGCUCUCUUCCUUUCCAUCUGUGCUUCAUUGCAAGGAAGAAUCUACUCUGACAGAUGCAGCCACCUCUGCAAAAGCCCCACCUGUGACCACAAGAGGCUCUGAGGGGCCGUCCAGACCCAGCCCUGACAGGGAGUUUCCGCCCUUUGGUCAGAGGAAUGCCAGAUAAACAGCCUGUCAGUUAAGCUUAUCAACAUAGUUACAAUGUCACAGAAAAGAGAUGCCCGAUUCCCAGGCCAGUGGAGUUUCAUCUUAUUCUGAAUAAAGGCCA